CUGGGUUUGACAUCACUCAAAAACUCGCAGAGAUGCGGGGUCCUUCGGGGUGGGUGACAGGUGGUGCAUGGCUGUCGUCAGCUCGUGUCGUGAGAUGUUGGGUUAAGUCCCGCAACGAGCGCAACCCUCGUUCGAUGUUGCCAGCGCGUUAUGGCGGGGACUCAUCGAAGACUGCCGGGGUCAACUCGGAGGAAGGUGGGGAUGACGUCAAGUCAUCAUGCCCCUUAUGUCCAGGGCUUCACGCAUGCUACAAUGGCCGGUACAAAGGGUUGCGAUGCCGUGAGGUGGAGCGAAUCCCAAAAAGCCGGUCUCAGUUCGGAUCGGGGUCUGCAACUCGACCCCGUGAAGUCGGAGUCGCUAGUAAUCGCAGAUCACCAACGCUGCGGUGAAUACGUUCCC
rnacentral:rRNA from 1 species